rnacentral:misc_RNA from 1 species
AACGGUCUAUACCUGCGGUACCUGCGGAAGGAUCAUUAUCAAUUUACAGCGGACUUCGGUCCUGUCUGCACCCUUGUCUUUUGCGUACUAUAUGUUUCCUCGGUGGGCUUGCCUGCCGAUAGGACACUUAUAAACUCUUUUGUAAUUGCAAUCAGCGUCAGAAAACUAUAAUAGUUACAACUUUUAGCAAUGGAUCUCU